rnacentral:rRNA from 1 species
GAUGAACGCUGGCGGCGUGCCUAAUACAUGCAAGUCGAGCGAACGGACGAGAAGCUUGCUUCUCUGAUGUUAGCGGCGGACGGGUGAGUAACACGUGGAUAACCUACCUAUAAGACUGGGAUAACUUCGGGAAACCGGAGCUAAUACCGGAUACUAUUUUGAACCGCAUGGUUCAAAAGUGAAAGACGGUCUUGCUGUCACUUAUAGAUGGAUCCGCGCUGCAUUAGCUAGUUGGUAAGGUAACGGCUUACCAAGGCAACGAUGCAUAGCCGACCUGAGAGGGUGAUCGGCCACUCUGGAACUGAGACACGGUCCAGACUCCUACGGGAGGCAGCAGUAGGGAAUCUUCCGCAAUGGGCGAAAGCCUGACGGAGCAACGCCGCGUGAGUGAUGAAGGUCUUCGGAUCGUAAAACUCUGUUAUUAGGGAAGAACAUAUGUGUAAGUAACUGUGCACAUCUUGACGGUACCUAAUCAGAAAGCCACGGCUAACUACGUG